rnacentral:miRNA from 1 species
AGUCGUAUCGACUCUGAUAU